rnacentral:rRNA from 1 species
UACGAAGGGGCUAGCGUUGCUCGGAAUCACUGGGCGUAAAGGGUGCGUAGGCGGGUCUUUAAGUCAGGGGUGAAAUCCUGGAGCUCCAACUCCAGAACUGCCUUUGAUACUGAAGAUCUUGAGUCCGGGAGAGGUGAGUGGAACUGCGAGUGUAGAGGUGAAAUUCGUAGAUAUCGCAAGAACACCAGUGGCGAAGGCGGCUCACUGGCCCGGUACGUGACGCUGAGGCACGAAAGCGUG